rnacentral:miRNA from 1 species
GAAAGAGCGAGUGGGGGAGGGGGACUGCGCGUCACUCACUGUUCUCCCCCCUCCCCCGCACAG